GACCCGAAAGAUGGUGAACUAUGCCUGGGCAGGGCGAAGCCAGAGGAAACUCUGAUGGAGGUCCGUAGCGGUCCUGACGUGCAAAUCGGUCGUCCGACCUGGGUAUAGGGGCGAAAGACUAUGAUUUACAACUGUCCCGUUGACGG
rnacentral:ncRNA from 1 species